CCUACGGGAGACUGCAGUGAGGAAUAUUGGUCAAUGGACGCAAGUCUGAACCAGCCAUGCCGCGUGCAGGAAGACGGCUCUAUGAGUUGUAAACUUCUUUUGUACGAGGGUAAAUCCCGAUACGUGUACCUGGUUGCAUGUAUUUUAUGAAUAAGGAUCGGCUAACUCCGUGCCAGCAGCCGCGGUAAUACGGAGGAUUCGAGCGUUAUCCGGAUUUAUUGGGUUUAAAGGGUGCGUAGGCGGGUCGAUAAGUUAGAGGUGAAAUCCCGGGGCUCAACCCCGGCACUGCAUCUGAUACUGGCAGGCUAGAGUUUAGUUGCGGUAGGCGGAAUGUAUGGUGUAGCGGUGAAAUGCAUAGAGAUCAUACAGAACACCGAUUGCGAAGACAGCUUACCAAACUGCGACUGACGUUGAGGCACGAAAGCGUGGGGAGCAAACAGGAUUAGAUACCCCUGUAGUC
rnacentral:rRNA from 1 species